rnacentral:lncRNA from 1 species
GAAGUCAUUUUUUCUCACAGAUUCUUGAAAAUAACCAUACCUCUUCUUUAAGUCUUAAUCCAAACUGUCGGAAAGAAAUAAUGCAGCAGAUAAAUAUUUGAAGUAAUAAUGACGAGGAGCAUUCCCAAAUUAAUAACAGAUGUCAAAUCACCAAUAGAAGAAGCAUAGGGAACUGUAAGAAGAAUAAACUCAAAAAAAUAGGAGGAAGAGAGAGAAGGAGGGAAAACAAAGAGGGAAGAAGGAAGGCAGACAAACUAUACCCAAGCAUAUCAUAUUCAAACUACAGAAAACCAAAGACAAAGAGAAAAACUUCAAAGAAUCUAAGUGAGGGGAAAAGAUACCUUAAGAGAGAGUGGAAUGAAAUAUUUAAAGUGUUAAAACAAAACAAAACACCAGCUAGGAAUUCCCUAUCCAGUGGAAUUAUCCCUUAAAAGUGC